AUGAACGCUAGCGAUAGGCUUAACACAUGCCAGUCGAGGGGCAGCAUGGUCUUAGCUUGCUAAGGCUGAUGGCGACCGGCGCACGGGUGCGUAACGCGUAUGCAACUUGCCUCACAGAGGGGGAUAGCCCGUCGAAAGACGGACUAAUACCGCGUACACUCUAUGUUGGGCAUCCAAUGUAGAGGAAAUGAAAUUCGCUGUGAGAUAGGCAUGCGUCCCAUUAGCUAGUUGGUGAGGUAACGGCUCACCAAGGCGACGAUGGGUAGGGGAACUGAGAGGUUGAACCCCCACACUGGUACUGAGACACGGACCAGACUCCUACGGGAGGCAGCAGUGAGGAAUAUUGGUCAAUGGGCGAGAGCCUGAACCAGCCAAGUCGCGUGAAGGAUGACUGUCUUAUGGAUUGUAAACUUCUUUUAUACGGGAAUAACAAGAGUCACGUGUGGCUCCCUGCAUGUACCGUAUGAAUAAGCAUCGGCUAACUCCGUG
rnacentral:rRNA from 1 species